rnacentral:rRNA from 1 species
AUGGCCCGCAACACCGCGCCGGAGAAACCCCAGAAGCUCCUGUUGCAUCCCCUGUUUCCGUCCGUCGUAGACGCAGGAAGAUCAGUUCAAGUAGAAAACCAUUCCAAGAAGGAUUGGCCGAUGCUGUCGGCUGGCAUGAAGUUCGAUCCCAUAGAUCAGGAGCUGAUCGAGCACCUUGAGGCCAAAGUGAGUGCUGUCAGCGCGAGAUCGCACCCUCUCAUCGAUUUGUUCAUACCAACCAUCGACAACGAGCACGGCAUAUGCUACACCCAUCCUGAGAAACUUCCAGUGCGGCAUGCACGCGAUGUGGCACAGGACCGGCAAUACCUUACGGUGAUGGUCAACGGCCGGCAGACGGGCAUCAAAAAGGUUCUGGUGCUGCACACCAACAAGAACUUCGACCAGCAGAGGACCAAUUGGGUGAUGCACCAGUACCACCUCGGGGACCUGGAGCAAGAGAAGGAGCGGAAGCUAGUCCUCUGCAAGAUUUUCUACCAGAGAAACACUAGGGCCAGGACUAAAAAUAUUAUAAGCACCCGAUUUUUAUUUGAUGGGUACCAUAAGCACCUGCCGUUUGAAUUCCCAGUUCUCCAAAUUUUUUACAUCUUCGAAGUACGCAAGGGAUCCAUCCGGUUUCACAGGCUGAUAGUUGGACGCAGCACGUCGGAACUGGGCUGUGGCAUGCCAAGCCCAACUGCAAAUUGUUAA